rnacentral:rRNA from 1 species
UACGAAGGGGGCGAGCGUUGUUCGGAUUUACUGGGCGUAAAGGGCGCGUAGGCGGCCCCUCAAGUCAGGCGUGAAAGCCCCGGGCUCAACCUGGGAGGUGCGCUUGGGACUGGGGGGCUGGAGUUCGGGAGAGGAGCGUGGAAUUCCCAGUGUAGAGGUGAAAUGCGUAGAGAUGUGGAGGAACACCGAUGGCGAAGGCAGCCUCCUGGGCUAGUACUGGCGCUCAUGCACGAAAGCGUGGGGAGCAAACAGG